rnacentral:rRNA from 1 species
GACGAACGCUGGCGGCGUGCUUAACACAUGCAAGUCGAACGGAAAGGCCUUUUCGGAGGUACUCGAGUGGCGAACGGGUGAGUAACACGUGGGUGAUCUGCCCUGCACUCUGGGAUAAGCCUGGGAAACUGGGUCUAAUACCGGAUAGGACCGCACUUUAGUGUGUGUGGUGGAAAGUUUUUUCGGUGUAGGAUGAGCCCGCGGCCUAUCAGCUUGUUGGUGGGGUAAUGGCCUACCAAGGCGGCGACGGGUAGCCGGACUGAGAGGUUGGUCGGCCACAUUGGGACUGAGAUACGGCCCAGACUCCUACGGGAGGAAGCAGUGGGGAAUAUUGCACAAUGGGCGCAAGCCUGAUGCAGCGACGCCGCGUGGGGGAUGACGGCCUUCGGGUUGUAAACUCCUUUCGCCAGGGACGAAGCGUUUUGCGACGGUACCUGGAGAAGAAGCACCGGCUAACUACGUG